AGUGGGAUCAUUGGGUAAAAUGGUGGCUCCUUUCCAAGUUUUCUGAGGAAUCUCCAUACUGCUUUCCAAAAUGAUUAUACCAAUUUUCAGUCCCACCAGCAAU
rnacentral:pre_miRNA from 1 species